rnacentral:rRNA from 1 species
UACGUAGGGGCCGAGCGUUGUCCAGAGUUACUGGGCGUAAAGAGCUCGUAGGCGGCUUGUCGCGUCGACCGUGAAAACUUGGGGCUCAACCCCAAGCCUGCGGUCGAUACGGGCAGGCUAGAGUUCGGUAGGGGAGACUGGAAUUCCUGGUGUAGCGGUGAAAUGCGCAGAUAUCAGGAGGAACACCGGUGGCGAAGGCGGGUCUCUGGGCCGAUACUGACGCUGAGGAGCGAAAGCGUGGGGAGCGAACAGG